rnacentral:lncRNA from 1 species
UUGAGCCUAAUUAAUCAAUGUGCUAAUGAUGGGAUUAAUCAAAACCAAGUGGUGGUUGCUUUGCUAAAGCCUAUGAUUUCAACUAACAUAUACACUCAGCGAUAGUAGAUGAUAAAUUAUGGUUACAGCCACAAAUAUAUGACCCUCUCUAGUGUCGUUACGGUGCAUUGCUGCACGCACGUCGGAACCCAUUGCCGUAAAGCGCUCAGAAAAC